CGGGCACGCGCCGUGCUGCUGUGCAGGCAGGAGCUGGCUGCAGCUUGGUGAUGAAGAGGACAGGCCACCAGCUGGACACCAACCACUGCUUUUCCACCCCCUGAAGCACACCAAUGAACAAUGAUCUACACUUAAAAGGAGGCGGCUUACAAAGCUUCACAGCGGCAGCAAAAUCUUACUCAAAUUCAGACUUUCUUCUGGCAACCAGGAGAUGGAAUCAAUGCUCCAUCAGAUCCAUCGGGCCAUCUCAUUAGUGUCACUAAAGCAAGCUCAACCAAAGGAAAAGCACAAAACCAGAGCCUUAAACCUUUCAAAAGAACCCUUUUCUCAUCAGUUGCCUUACCUAGAGAAACAGCAGCACAGGCUACACAAGACCCAUUCCAACAGUUAUCUGUUCGCCAAAUAAGUGUCUGUCCAAGCCUUUUUUUUGUAUUGCUCUGCCAUCUGCUCUGCCACUUUGCAGUCCAGGGGCACCCAGGCCCCCAAGCUUGGGCUAGGAGCUCUCAGAAAGCAACCCAAGUCUCUCUACUGCACACAAACAAAGGGUCCUGCACCUCCACGUUGCCCUGCGCCACACAUUCCCCAGCUGCAUUUUCUGGGCUCUUACACCGCACGCAGCCCUGCAAGACACAUUAAGUUACCAGCACCAGAACAAGUCUUGGUACUUGUGGCACUGGCCAAGGGAUGCUCAGCCAGUCUGACCAGUCACGAGUGCACAGGGCACUUACCUCGGAGGUCGGGGUCCAGCUGCAGGGUGCUGGAAGACCAGGGCUGCUUUCCCCACAGAGGAGGACAAACCACGAUGCACCGGUUACCCUGCCACAGCAGCUUCACCAGCGUGGGGCACACUGCCGGACAGCACCAGCAGAGCAGGACUGGUGGCAGUAACAAGUCCCAGCAGCAACGCAGUGACCAUUAGACAAACAUGCAAGGAUGAAGUAAAUUCCAGGGCAAACUCAGAAGUCUGGCACGUAAGUGGGGUGGAGGCACCAGGAGAGGCUGAUGAGGACAAUUAGAGCCUAUUAGCACCUUCACAGCCUGCCAGCCGGUGCUCCUUCUCAGGCUGGUUUGAGGCAAGGCUUUUACCCCUGAUCCAUGAGCCACAGUAGACACUAGUUUCCAAAAUUCAGACUGCAUUUCCUUAGCAAAGAAUUUUUACUUUUAAUAAAUAUUUUCAUCAA